ACAGUGUCUGGUGGGUAGUUUGACUGGGGCGGUCUCCUCCUAAAGAGUAACGGAGGAGCACGAAGGUUGGCUAAUCCUGGUCGGACAUCAGGAGGUUAGUGCAAUGGCAUAAGCCAGCUUGACUGCGAGCGUGACGGCGCGAGCAGGUGCGAAAGCAGGUCAUAGUGAUCCGGUGGUUCUGAAUGGAAGGGCCAUCGCUCAACGGAUAAAAGGUACUCCGGGGAUAACAGGCUGAUACCGCCCAAGAGUUCAUAUCGACGGCGGUGUUUGGCACCUCGAUGUCGGCUCAUCACAUCCUGGGGCUGAAGUAGGUCCCAAGGGUAUGGCUGUUCGCCAUUUAAAGUGGUACGCGAGCUGGGUUUAGAACGUCGUGAGACAGUUCGGUCCCUAUCUGCCGUGGGCGCUGGAGAACUGAGGGGGGCUGCUCCUAGUACGAGAGGACCGGAGUGGACGCAUCACUGGUGUUCGGGUUGUCAUGCCAAUGGCACUGCCCGGUAGCUAAAUGCGGAAGAGAUAAGUGCUGAAAGCAUCUAAGCACGAAACUUGCCCCGAGAUGAGUUCUCCCUGACUCCUUGAGAGUCCUGAAGGAACGUUGAAGACGACGACGU
rnacentral:rRNA from 1 species